GGAUGUGAGGGCACUGUAGCUGUGACAUACAUGACACCAUCGAUGCCCAGGGUUCACUUGGCUCAUCUUCGUAGCGAAGUUGGUUUCCCCUUCUCUGCCUUCGGCAGUUACAUCCCUCUGGCAGCUGAUGCUCAGUUGAGGAAGAAGACUUUCCCCACUAGCCAAGACCCUGUCUUUGGUUAGGGAUAUAUGAGUAAUUGUGCUCCCUAACUAGACCCUCGAGCCAAAUGAAUAAAAUUAGAAUAACAAAAAUGACUUACUGCAU
rnacentral:snRNA from 1 species